UGGUCCUGGCCGAACUCUUCAUGGGUCU
rnacentral:piRNA from 1 species